rnacentral:lncRNA from 1 species
ACUCUUUUCGGCAUUUUUUUGAAAUUUUUAUUUACACAUAAAUACAAUAUUUACGUAUAUCUCAAAUGUAAGUGCAAUUUUUUAUUUACAUUUCAAGUACAAUAUAUUUUAAAAGUUAAUUUUGGAUGUAACCAAACAUGGUCUUAGCAUUCCCAAAUCUCCGUUCUAGUUAUACCUAUGGCCGCCCUUAGCCCACAAAAACAAUAAUAACGGAAAACGUUGCUUGCACGCUCAAAUCGUACCCUACCCCGUUCGCUCUUCCCACGUGGCAAACUCUUCUAUCAUAAACUCGACACGUGUGGAUAAUCCAUAAAUUAACACUCAUGAAAGUUUGGAGUCUUAUUUAUUUAUUUAUCAUUUAAAAAUUCAAAAUUCCAAAUCCAAAUCUCACGCACUCUCCGCUCGCUAUUUCUGUCUCUCUCUCUCUCUCGAACAAGAUCUCCAUUGCCGGAGAAUUGAAGAAGAAAAGGAAAUAGAUCUGAUCUGAAAUGGGUCUAAGGAUCGUCUACGGCGUCGUAUUUCUUUCCUUCUCGUGCUGCUGCUUCAAGCUCCUCCAUCUUGCUCUUCAUCCCAUCUUCUACUUCACCUCCUGAAAAUGAAGAAGCCAAAAUGGUUCAUCUCUUCUCUUCUCUCUCUUUCUGUAAUUCCUUUUUUUUUUUUUUUUAACUUCUAUAGAUCUUCGAUUAUGAUGGCAUAGUGUAUCGAAUCUGUUAUAUAGAUAUAUAUAUGUACUGUUUGGUUGUAAUUUGAAACCUCAGUACUUCGUUCUAUAAAAUAUUAUACUACUAUUUUAUUAAGUCCGAUUUCUUGCUCUGAAGUUGCGUGAUUAGAUCGUGCGAAUUUCAACUAUAUAUUAUAUUAUUAUAUUGCUGAUGAUUAGACCUAGUGAGAUCAGGAUUCAGGACUGUUUUCGUAUUGUUGCUGUAAUUACAGAAUGAACCCUAGACUACGUGAAGUAUCCCUAAAAUUAGUUUGUCUUAUUUUAUUCUCAUUUGUGCAUUAAUUAUUUACAAUUCUAUAGAAAACAAAAAUGACUAUUUCAGAUUUUAAUACAAAAAUAGUUCCUGUACUUGCUUGCGGAUUACAAAUUCACGCUUCAUCAAUAGAAAACCAAUUACUUUCAUUUAUUAUGCACUAACUAUAAUAUUUUAUUUAAUUGGGAUCAAAGCAUAAUUCAUUAAUGUAAUAGUAAAAUUUUGAUAACGAAUUUGAAUUUUUUUCAAACGAGUCAUGAGGUUCUUUUUUAAAAUACACACACACACACACACACACACUACAUAGUCAUGUAAUAUUCCAUUUCUUCCAGUUUCGUUUUUAGACUAAGCUUAUUUAUGAUCUAUAUAUAUAAACACAAUUCAAUUCUCAACAUCACUCAAUUAAUCAAAUCCUAAAUAUUUGAUUAUGAAAUCUUCACUAUUCUUUUUGCUAAAUGUUUCUAGUUACCCUGGAGAAAUUUCCCAGAUUUGUUUUAUGCUCGAAUGCUCUUUGAUUUUCUUUUGAGACCUUGUCUCAGUUUUCUUUUCCCACUAAUUUCUUGAAAAUAUUCUUGUAAUAACUUAUAAAUUACCAACACUAUUAAGCUCUACAUCAAUUCACAAAUAUACUAAUUUGAAUGUUUUUAAUUCUUUAGCACCACAUACAAUAAUCUUGUGAAUUUAUUAUUAUUUUUAAAUAAUAUAUAUAUAUAUAUUUAUUAAUUAAAUUAUACAUAUAUUUUUUAAUUAAAUGAUAAAUUCUUGUUAGUUGGUACAUACAACAUCAAUUCAACUAUAAAAUUAGUUGUUCACAAUAACUAAUUCAAUUAACCAACAACACAAUUUUUUGCGGUUAAAACUUUUUUAUUCCAUAAAUUUGAGUUUUAAUAAAAAUGUAGAGUUCGUCAUUUUAUAAUACUCUGAUUCAUUAAAACUGAUGGUUUAAUUUAUUAAUUUUUUAAUAAAAUUAUGUCAGGAUGUACGAAUUUAUUAUAUUUUUAAAUAAAAAAAUAUUUUAUAAUUAUUAAAUUUUUUUAAUUAAAAUAUAUAUUUUUCGUAACUUAGUUUUGUUUCUCUGUGUCAAAAUCAUUCUCAGUCACUCUUCUCUUUGGGGAAUUCCAAAGGACCUUAAAUCUCUCCCACAAAAUAAUAAAAUACUUUCCACGUUUUAUGUAGUGAUAGUGAAUGGAUAUACAAAUAAUAUAUGUUUCCCGUUAAUUUAAUAAUUUAAAUUUGUGAAAAUAAAAGGCAUGAUAAAUAAUUGUAGAAAUAAUAAUUAUUAAAAAAAAUAAAAACUUAAAUUUUUAAUUAAAAAAUAAAAUUAUUUCUAAAAUAUAUUUACAUGGUAAUUUUUAAGAUUAAAUAUAUUAAAAUUUUCAUUGAUUUUUAAAUUUUUUAUUUUUAUUUUUUUAAACCGACGACGUAGGGAAACCGUUGUGGAAGUUACGAGGAAAGGGAGAGAGAGGCUAAAAUCGUCAAAUUAACGAAACUUAACUACCGCUUGGUUCUCUUCAGUUGUUCUUAAAAGCGCCGUAGCAGUUCAUCUCACGUCCGUUUAACGGAACGUUUCGUUACAUCUUCGAAUUGACCGUUUUAUCCUCUCCGUUUUCCAACCAUCAUUAAAACUUCAACUUACCUCGAAAGUCGAC